GUUUCUUUGUUAAUAUAAAGAAUUAGGCCUGCCCAGUGAAAAAUUUAACGGCUGCAGUACUCUGACUGUACAAAGGUAGCAUAAUAAUUUGCCUUUUAAUUGGUGGCUAGAAUAAAUGGUUUGACGAAAAUAUUACUAUAUUUAAUAUAUAUUUAAUAAUUUGUUUUUUAAGUUAAAAUUCUUAAUUAAUAUUAAGGGACGAGAAGACCCUAUUGAGCUUUUAAAAAAUUUAAAAUUUAUUAAUUUUUUUAAUUAAAAAAUUUUUUUUGGUUGGGGCAACCAGGGAAUAUAUAAAAUUUCUCUUAUUAAUAAAAAUUAACAAAUAAUAAUCCAAUAACUAUUGAAAAUGGAAUUAGUUACCAUAGGGAUAACAGCGUAAUUUUUUUAAAGAGAUCAUAUCGAAAAAAAAGUUUGCGACCUCGAUGUUGGAUUAAGUAUAAUAAAAAUUGCAGAAGUUUUUAUGGUUAGUCUGUUCGACUAUUAAAAAUUU
rnacentral:rRNA from 1 species